rnacentral:rRNA from 1 species
UACAGAGGCGGCAAGCGUUGUUCGGAAUUACUGGGCGUAAAGGGCGCGUAGGCGGCCUUCUAAGUCAGACGUGAAAUCCCCCGGCUUAACCUGGGAACUGCGUCUGAUACUGGAGGGCUUGAGUAUGGGAGAGGGAUGUAGAAUUCCAGGUGUAGCGGUGAAAUGCGUAGAUAUCUGGAGGAAUACCGGUGGCGAAGGCGGCAUCCUGGACCAUUACUGACGCUGAGGCGCGAAAGCUAGGGGAGCAAACGGG